GUGCAAUGAUGCAUUUUAUUCAACACAUCAUUCUGAAAAGACGUGUGUGGAAAACUAAUGACUGAGCACA
ensembl:snoRNA SNORD63 Small nucleolar RNA SNORD63